rnacentral:misc_RNA from 1 species
GAAACUAUGUAUAAACCAUUUCCCAUCUUGCUUUCUCUUCAAAUGAAUACUGGCCUUGCAAUCAGUCUUGGGACAUGAUCGGGAACUGCCAGACUCACGCUUGGUCCCAAAUCUAGAACAAGCAAUCUUCACAUCAAUAAAUUUGCCCGACUUCUUUGACCUGCGACUAGCCUUUAUCGUGAUGCCAAAUCCCACUGACCUCGCAUAUUCCCUGUAGUAAGCAUAGGCAGCCUCCUUUGUAUCGAAUUCUAUACCCUUUUCUGGCUCACCAUUUUCUAUUCCGUUGUCUAUAAUAUCAACAUCAACAAUAUCCAUACCUAUCCCAUUCCCAUCAACAUUCUCUUUCCCGACAUGACUUGGAAUUGAAUCAUCAAUAGCAUUUGUAUCCACAUACACAUCUAACCUUUUAUCCUGCCCCGAAGACAAUCGAAGAUCAAUUUCCAUAACUUAAACCCUACCAAUGCACAUUUUAUGAAUCACUUCAACAAACAACUACAGGAUUCUGCCCAUCAGUAGUAAUC